rnacentral:misc_RNA from 1 species
GUGAAUCAUCGAAUUUUUGAACGCAAAUUGCGCCUUUUGCGGAUGGCAUGUCGGUUUGAUGGCUCCAUGUAACAAAUAAUGUGCAGCGUUGUGUGGAUAUAGUACGUGCACACGUUUGUGAGCUUUUCAAGAAUUUUAAAUUGUUGGUGGCGCAUAAUGAACAGCGUGAAAGUUUUUUUCAGUUCGAGUGUAUUUAAAUCUUUGCUUGGGUUGUGAAAAAACAUAAUCGCGCAAUGGGUGUGGCAAUUUCUUUUUAUCACUGCCCCAAUGCCAGUCUUUCUCACGAUAGAACUUCUAAU